rnacentral:rRNA from 1 species
UACGUAGGUGGCAAGCGUUGUUCGGAAUUAUUGGGCGUAAAGAGCGUGUAGGCGGCUAGAUAGGUCCGUUGUGAAAACUCGAGGCUCAACCUCGAGACGUCGAUGGAAACCAUCUGGCUAGAGUCCGGAAGAGGAGAGUGGAAUUCCUGGUGUAGCGGUGAAAUGCGCAGAUAUCAGGAAGAACACCCGUGGCGAAGGCGGCUCUCUGGUACGUGACUGACGCUGAGACGCGAAAGCGUGGGGAGCGAACAGG